rnacentral:lncRNA from 1 species
GCCAGGUGAACUACUGUCCCAUGUUAGGAGGUGGAGGCGGCGGGUGCAUACCCUGUCCCUGCAUCUGAUGACCAGGGAAACCUUGUGGAGGAGGGUUAGUUGGAGGCCUAGGAGUGAAAUUUCCCAUUGUCCCGCUACCCCCAGGAGGUGGUGGUGGGGCUAUAGGGUUGCCACCAGGAGGCAUAGGCCUAGGACCAUUUCCCAUAGGAGGCGGAGGUGGCGGUAAUGAACCAGGAGCUGGAGGUGGAGGGCCCCUAGGAGGGUUUGGCAGCCCUUGAGGUGGAGGAGGAGGUGGCGGUGCUGGAGCAUGAGGUGGUGGAGGCAAAGGCCUUGGAGGAGCACCUGGGGCCGCAGUACCAUUGACUGCAGGAGGAGGUGGAGGUUUGUUCACCUCUAGUGGCUUGGUUUUAAAAUAUACCUGCAACUGCAUUUUGAUAAUAGCCAGAAAAACAGUAAGAUAUUAUCUACAAGAUUUUUUAAAAACAAAUUAGUGCAUUUAUGCAAG